ACCAGUUCUGUCGCAUCUAUCACGGGCUGCAUCCCCGGGCAGCUGCACGAGGCAGCUGCUGGUCUGUAGAAAGAGUGCAAACUCCCAACAAUCUGUGGAUUCAUUCUGCACUUCAUGCUCACCCACUGAUGGGAUGGCAAUGGGGUGCUCGCCGGACAUGCCUAGACUUGUUCUUAAUUGUGCAUCGAGGGGAUCAAAUCCCGCUCAAUCCUUUAUCUGUUUUUCUUCUCCCCAACAGACAAGUGUGCACAUCGCCUCUCAGCAUAAAGAUAGUAAAGAGAUGACAGGAAAUGAGGGGGAGAGGUGUAACAAAUGUCGGCGUCCAGACUCAAACUGGAGAUGUUGCAGUUCACGGGCAUGCAGUACUUGACUGGCUGUAAAUCUGUUUGGAGACUAAUCUGCCACUACCUACCAGCUGCUCUCUUGGCACUUGCCAGGGCCAACAUUCCCGUUGCCAUGGAGAUAACCAGUCAUGCCAGUUACACAUAAGGCCUGGCGCUGCGCCGAGCAGGCUGUGUGUAGCGAGCACGUGCGUGCCCGUGUGUGUGCACGCCGUGUGUGCCUGGAUAAUGUGCAUCUGUAUUAUUAGAAGUCAAACAGUGUGGUCUGUCAACCGCCAAAUAAAGAAAAAGGUUCUUGAAUAA